GCGAAAGGGAAACCGGGAGUGAAAGAGGACGAUGGUCCAGGGCUUGUUGGCCUGGCAACUUUGAUGUGAAGACACCGAAGCUUGUACAGCGUAAGAUUGUGAAUAUCGAUCUCUAGGGUUUUAGAGUUUUGCAAAUGAAGUCAGUUGUGAGAGCACAUCGCGGAAACGUUCGUCAUGGCAGCACGCGGGAAACGCGAGUUGUUUUCAUCUAUGGACCUCUGCUCCUCUGGAAAUGGGAAGGCGAGCGUGCAAGAUUGUGGACAGAAAGUGCUGCAGGCGGCACAGGCUUGAAGAGAAACAAAGUUAAUGCCAGGCUUGGCAAAGAGAUAGUGCAAGCGGCGAGGGACGGAAUUUAACAUUGGCAACACUGGUGCAGAAAGCGAAGGUCUCAUAGAACGCAACAUCAAGAAAGCAAAAGACACCAGCAGGACUUCUGAGGCAUACGGCUUUGGUGGUGUUGGAAUCGUGGUGGAAGUUCUCACGGACAACACGAACAGAGCUUUGUUCGUUCGCGAUGUUAUCAAAAAGAGCCAUGCCAAGAUGUGAAGGCAAUGUGGAUUCGGAAAGUUUUCAGGCUGCCGCGAUCGAUGUUGGAGCUGAGGAUGUUGUGGAACCUGAAUUUGAGGCCGAUGAAAAGUCCAUUGGAGAAGAAGUACUAUUUCGGGCGUGUCAAAAUUGGGCUCAAGGGUGCGGGGUUCUCAAUUGACAUGGACCAACUGAGCUACUGGAGGUAUGCAAGAGCUUUCCAAUGGAAAUGAAUUACAGUUUGUUCAACUUAAACGAAUUGACUGAUUCAUGUUGAAAGUGUCAUGUAAAAUAGGACUUAAAGUAUUAAAUAAAAUAUAUAAAUAUUUCUUUAA